GGGAAGAGCUCAAAUUUAUAAUCUGGCACUUUCAGUGUCCGAGUUGUAAUCUCUAGAAGUGUUUUCCGCAUUGGACCGCACACAAGUCUGUUGGAAUACAGCGGCACAGUGGUGAGACCCCCGUAUACGGUGCGGAUGCCCAAUGCUUUGUGAUACACUUUCGAAGAGUCGAGUUGUUUGGGAAUGCAGCUCAAAUUGGGUGGUAAAUUCCAUCUAAAGCUAAAUAUUGGCGAGAGACCGAUAGCGAACAAGUACCGUGAGGGAAAGAUGAAAAGCACUUUGGAAAGAGAGUUAACAGUACGUGAAAUUGUUGGAAGGGAAACGCUUGAAGUCAGACUUGCUAUUCGGGGCUUGCUCCGAGUUGCAGGCCAGCAUCAGUUUUUCGGGGUGGAAAAUCACGGUUUGAAGGUAGCAACUUCGGUUGUGUUAUAGCUUUCCGUUGGAUACAUCCUGGGGGACUGAGGAACGCAGUGUGCUUUUAGCAGGAGCUUCGGCUUCAUCACACUUAGGAUGCUGGUGGAAUGGCUUUAAACGACCCGUCUUGAAACAAA
rnacentral:rRNA from 1 species